rnacentral:lncRNA from 1 species
CCUGUACUUGAGCUCCUUCAAUCUUCAGCACACUUCCAUCUUCAGAGAUGCUAAGACCUGGUUUAUUCAGCAAGGGUCGCCCAUCUUUGAGCCACAUCAGCAUGGGCAGGGGAACAGCGUUGCUCUGGCAGAGCAGCUCCACUGCCUGGCUGAUGAGCACAGAGACAUUUUGUUCCUCUCCCAUGAUGUUUGGUGGAACAUAAACUCUGAG